AUUUAAAUAGUUUAAUAAAAACAUUGACUUGUGGAGUCAAAAAUAUAAUUUAAUAUUAUUUUAGAUA
rnacentral:tRNA from 1 species